GUGCUGAUUUUGGCAGCAUAUAUACUAAAAUUGGAAUAAUACAGAGAAGAUUAGCAUGACCCCUGCACAAGGAUGACACACAAAUUCAUGAUCUUUUUAUUUCU
ensembl:snRNA U6 U6 spliceosomal RNA